rnacentral:rRNA from 1 species
CAGUAGCCGCGGUAAUACAGAGGGUGCAAGCGUUAAUCGGAUUUACUGGGCGUAAAGGGCGCGUAGGUGGUUAUGUAAGUGAGAUGUGAAAUCCCCGGGCUCAACCUGGGAACUGCAUCUUAUACUGCGUAGCUGGAGUGCAGUAGAGGGUAGUGGAAUUUCCGGUGUAGCGGUGAAAUGCGUAGAUAUCGGAAGGAACACCAGUGGCGAAGGCGGCUACCUGGACUGACGCUGACACUGAGGCGCGAAAGCGUGGGGAGCAAACAGGAUUAGAUACCCCGGUAGUCCCUGUCUCUUAUAA